rnacentral:pre_miRNA from 1 species
UCUUCACUUUGCGCACUGUCUCACCGGUCAGAGUGGCGAGAGAGUGUGAGAAAUGGAGAGA